rnacentral:rRNA from 1 species
AUUGAACGCUGGCGGCAGGCCUAACACAUGCAAGUCGAGCGGUAGAGAGAAGCUUGCUUCUCUUGAGAGCGGCGGACGGGUGAGUAAUGCCUAGGAAUCUGCCUGGUAGUGGGGGAUAACGUUCGGAAACGGACGCUAAUACCGCAUACGUCCUACGGGAGAAAGCAGGGGACCUUCGGGCCUUGCGCUAUCAGAUGAGCCUAGGUCGGAUUAGCUAGUUGGUGAGGUAAUGGCUCACCAAGGCGACGAUCCGUAACUGGUCUGAGAGGAUGAUCAGUCACACUGGAACUGAGACACGGUCCAGACUCCUACGGGAGGCAGCAGUGGGGAAUAUUGGACAAUGGGCGAAAGCCUGAUCCAGCCAUGCCGCGUGUGUGAAGAAGGUCUUCGGAUUGUAAAGCACUUUAAGUUGGGAGGAAGGGUUGUAGAUUAAUACUCUGCAAUUUUGACGUUACCGACAGAAUAAGCACCGGCUAACUCUGUGCCAGCAGCCGCGGUAAUACAGAGGGUGCAAGCGUUAAUCGGAAUUACUGGGCGUAAAGCGCGCGUAGGUGGUUUGUUAAGUUGGAUGUGAAAUCCCCGGGCUCAACCUGGGAACUGCAUUCAAAACUGACUGACUAGAGUAU